GUGUGUGUGCGUGUGUGUGUGUGUGUAUGCCUGCCUAACAUACAGAGCGUGUGUGGGUGUGUGUCUGUGCGUAUGCCUGCACACCGUACAGGGUGUGUGUGUGUGUGUGUGUGUGUGUGUCUGCGCACCGUCCAGCUUGCGGCUGUUCAGCUUGAGGCGGUUGAAAGGGUUGGUGCCGAAGAGCAGGGCGUGGCGCUCUGAAUGCACCGAGCGCAGCUCCUCCUGGGUGGCCUUCCGGCCUGGGAUUCGCUGAGGAGGGAAGGAGGGAGGGGUUAGAGGUGCAAUCAGGGCAGUCUUAGAGGGAUAUCUGUGAAUGAGGCAGGGGUGGGGGCGGUGGAGGUCACCCACCUCACAGUUAGUCCUGAGGCCUCUCUCCUGCAGCCGGGACCAGACACUCUGGAUCCUGCCAGCGUGCUCGGGGUGGUUGCUGUUGUCUCCACAGGUGCACUGGUGCUUUAGCAUUUGAGAGUCAUAAACAAGGCCUACAAAUACAUACACCCAUGUACACACACACACACACACACAGAAAAACACACAACAAAAAAUUACAAUUACAAUUUCGGCCUCUCCUAUAUCACCAUCUCAAAGAGUCACUGUAGAUCUGAUGUGUAUGAUAUGAUGAACUGAUAAUAAACCAUGACCUUCCCCCUAUCUGUAACGCCACUGGCCCAUACUGAAUAAAUCCAUUCCCUCUGUCUCACUAUCCCUGCCCCCUGCCCCCUACCCACUACACCCAAUCCCUGCCCCCUGCCCCCUACCCACUACACCCAAUCCCUGCCCCCUGCCCCCUACCCACUACACCCAAACCCUGCCACCAAGCUCCACAUAUCUCUAUCUCCUACCUCCUACCACCUCAGAACCCCUCUAGCACCUCCUAUAUGUCUGUCCCCUAUCGCAGGGGUGUCAAAUUCCAGUCCUUGAGGGCCGCAGUGUCUCCUGGUUUUUGGUGUUUCAGCAAGAGAGAUGAAUGAAGUCUUUAAUUGGGCAAAGAGUCCACGCACCUUGUUCUCAAGGCCUUAAUUGGCUGCUGAUUGAAAGGAAACCACAAAUACCAGCAUACACUGCGGCCCUCCAGGACUGGAGUUUGACACCCCUGCCCUAUCAUGUUGCCUCCUAGCCGUGUAACACCGGACCCGGACUCUUGCAGGGCUCUACAUUAUAGGAGAAUUUGUUCCUAAAAUGUUAAUGUAGAGCCCUGCCAAGUGGCCAGUCCUUUUACCCUCUCCCCUCUAGCACCUAGCCCCUAUUCUCUCCCCCUGGGUCCCAGGGCAGCAUACCCGUGGUGAAGCGCGGUUUGCUGGAGAUCUCGGCGGUGGGGAGCGGGUGAGGAUUCUCUGGAUGUGUGAGGGAGGUGGAGGCGGGCGAGGACUGGGUGCGAGACAGGGAGCGGUGCAUUAUGGGAACGGCCAUUUUCUCCGUGUGAGGUAUGUGCCUUCGUAGCUGCUGCAUCUGCGUCUCCCAUAGCAACGGCUGUGGGUGAAGAGGACAAGAUGGAGCAAAGAUGGAGCAGAGAUGGAGCAGAGAUGGAGCAGAGAUGGAGAGGGUAACUGUCUUGGUGCAAACGAUCCUGUGGUUUUUUUUGUUUUUCUGUAAACAUGGCACUUUAUUGCCCCCUGCUGGAUAGGAAGAGGUAAGGCAAGACUCCUAAAAACCCUCAUGGUGUUAAAGGUACAAUAGGUAAUUUCAGACUUCUAACGGUCAAGAGAGGAAUAGCAGCAACAAACACCUUCAAACCAUAACACCGUUUAUCCCUCUCCCUUCUCUGUAAACACGCUGACAUUGCAACGCCAUUAGAACCAAUUUUCAACCAAUGAGCUUGAAUUAUUGCACAGUUAUUUAAUGUUUUGGUCAGGCCAUCAGCUGUAUAUUUUGAAACCCGAAUUUAAGGACUAUAAACAAAGGCAGAGGGUGCGUGAACACAAUACAACAGUUUUGUCAGCAUCACUUUUCCACUGGUGAACUUUAUCCAUCAAUCACUUUGGCAGCUUUGGCUAAUUUCCAGCUAUUUUAAUGCACAGUAAUAAUGUUUUGGUCAUAAGCAUUCUAUUUGCAUUUAUAAUGCGUUUGUAAUCUUGCAAAUGAAUCAGUACACUGCUAUUUUUGAGCUUACACAAAGUCCACAUAACAGCCUAGAAACAAAUGUGCAUGCUCAUGUAAUAAUGUAACAAUAAUUAUGUCCAAUUAUAGCACUGUAACUCUCCCUCCUCAGCAAAUGAUACCCUGCCCUCAUGUGGUAGGAAGCAGAACUGCAGUUAUGAAAAGUGAAGCGUUCAACUCUUGCCUGGUGAAGGGUGUGCUGCAUGUUGACAUGGUCCUCAUUGGCUGGAACACACUCCACUUCAUGCAGAGGCUCAGCCACUCUGCUGUGAUUGGUGUGACUGAGCCCUGGCCCCACCUCUUCUGAGUCCAUAUCCUCUGAGGGUAUCUGUCUGAGGCGGGGCUUCUCGCUGGACUUGGACAUCAGCUGCACAACAGACAGACAGGGGUGCGAUACCUGGAUGGAUGUGUGAGAGAAACUGUUUAAGCAAAUUUCUGGAGAAACUUUUUCAGAAUGCUGACUCCAGCUUUCAUUGGCAUGACCCUUAAAGAGUGAUGUUCUAUAACAAUACAGGAUAAGGCUACAUGUGUGAAAACAUGACAGAAUCCCUGCUGUGGCUUAUAGAGACAAAACUGAAGAAAACCACAGGCAAAAAUGGGUAAAUCCCAAAAACAAUACAUUUAAAACAAGAGAAGGAAAUGGAUCCACUUACGUACAGAUGCAUUUCUACCUUUUUCUACCUUCUGUAUUUAAUUUUUUCCACGUGUGCCAGAACAGACUGAGGUAAUAACGUGGUGUUUUGUCCAAAGCCUUUGUCUGGAGCUCAACAAGUGCACUAUUAUUAUAAUGAUGUUAUGGGGAUUGUAGUUCAUAUUCUGGAUGUCCCAGCAAAAUAAACAGCAUUGUAUUGUGCAACUAACUGCCUUGUGGCAGCUAAAAUAAAAGCAACACUGAAAACCACUGAAAAACAGAACUAAUAGUGUGGUACGAUGAAAGACUUCAGACACAAGGGGGCAGCAUGGUCCACUGUGUGUACAGCAGCAAAAUGUUUCUCUGUGCGGUGUCUGUGUGCCAGUGCAGAUUAGUGAUCAGGACCUCUCUUCUUCUUUGACAGAGAUUAACUUUGUUUCAAACUCAUAUUUCUUAUAAACGUGUUGGUUUGAUGGACAAGGCUGGUUCAAUUGCCGACAGAAAUGUAAUUACUGUAUGUACAACUCAUUUGCUCCAUCUUUAACUUAAUCUAUGACAUGUUUGUUCGUUGUGACAAACAAUGUAUCACUGGUUUUUCUGAAGACUGAAUAGUUCAAUUAACCCUAAAAGAGAGCUGAGGAAUUUUGGGACUUCAGGGCAUGUAUGGCAGGAGUGAAGACCCCAGUUGUGGUCCUGGGCCACCAAGUUCUGUUUAGGACAUAACACAACUGAACAAGAAUUUCAGCUACUACCUACACAGUGUCAGGAAUCUUUGACUACAAAGCUUCAAUGCAACAGAAUAAAGGAAGCAAUUAACAUG